GUGCAGGCCUCCAGUGUGCUUGGGUUUGGAGUGACCCUUUGCAUUUCUACAGUGCUUGCAAGAAUAAGAUGAAAUGGUUUGAGGCUUUGCCCUGUUCUAUCCAGAGCAAGGUUAUAGAAAUUACACAGAACU